GACUCUCGACAACGGUAUCUCGGCUCUCGCAUCGAUGAAGAACGUAGCAAAAUGCGAUACUUGGUGUGAAUUGCAGAAUCCCGUGAACCAUCAAGUCUUUGAACGCAAGUUGCGCCCCAAUCCUUCUGGCCGAGGGCACGUCUGCUUGGGUGUCA
rnacentral:rRNA from 1 species